rnacentral:rRNA from 1 species
CGUCUAGGCGGUCAGAUAAGUGGGAUGUGAAAUGCCCCGGCUCACCCGGGGACCGGCAUCCCAAACUGUCUGGCUUGAGUAUGGGAGAGGAUGUGGGAAUUCCUGGUGUAGCGGUGAAAUGCGUAGAUAUCAGGAGGAACACCGGUGGCGAAGGCGCACAUCUGGCCCAAUACUGACGCUAAAGCGCGAAAGCUAGGGAGGCAAACG